GGGGGAUGAAUUCCUGCAGCAAUCGCUCUACAAGGUGGCCACAGGAGCCCAGCAGAAAGCAGGGAUGUCUCAUGCAUACUCCCCAGCUCCAUUGCUAUAAGGUCAUCUUCAAGGACUGACUUCGGACUUCCCCUGGAAGAAGCCAGAAUGGAGGCGGAUUUUCUUCCAGCGUGGGGGAAUCUGAGCAUGACCAUGUGGAAACAAACACAAAGUAUUCUGGCUCCUUCCUUGCCAGAAGCAGUUCUUCCUUCUAAUUAACCUUUGUUAUAGGGCUUCUCAAGAAGAUGAUUAGAAGAAUCAUGUAUAAACAACAAUGAUAACACCAUGAAAGGGAUGAAAUGAAACGGAUCCUAUAAAUCAGUGGGAAGCAGGAAAAACACAGCGAGACACGCUUAACUUGGUGAUACCAGCUGAUGCUGCCCAUACUCAGUGUUCACUCCAUUGGGGAGCAGGAGGGAACAAAAGUGCAGAAGAGGCGGUGCUGGAUGAACUGGAGUCCUGUCUCAGGGAGCCAUGAAGAGGCAAUGGCACCUGAUUGCAGAUGGAGUCACCCAGCAGAAACAACAAACUGGGGGGAGCUGCUUCUGCUCAUAGACAGAUAACCUGCAGCUGAGAAUGGAGCUGGGAGAAGAUGGGGAGACUCAUGACAACAGGGCAGAAAGAGCUUGGAGAAGCAGAGGCAGAGCAAGAAAGGGCACAUGGUAAAUAAUAUGGUGAAGCUUUUAAGGUGAGAUGAGCCAAAUAGAAUCCACAAGAAAGGUGCCUGCAAGAAAUUGAACAUGCUAAAAUAAACACCAUACACAGUAUAAAGAGUUAAGGACAAAUAUAGAACAGGCUUUGUGUUCCAAGUCACAUUUGAUUGUACUUAUUCAUUUAUCUAUUGUGGCUUUUGGCCGCUACAAGUGAAAAAAAGGUAAUUGCAACAUUUUCACUUGUGUUUAGCUUUUCCUGGUGUUUUGUUGUUGUUGUCUUGUUUUGUUUAUGUUUUAAUAAACACACGAGGCUCAUUUAAAUGAA